rnacentral:rRNA from 1 species
UCAGAUUGAACGCUGGCGGUAGGCCUAACACAUGCAAGUCGAACGCGAAAGUCCUUCGGGAUGAGUAGAGUGGCGGACGGGUGAGUAACGCGUAGGAAUCUAUCCUGUAGUGGGGGAUAACGUUUCGAAAGGAACGCUAAUACCGCAUACGCCCCAAGGGGGAAAGCGGGGGAUCUUCGGACCUCGUGCUAUAGGAGGAGCCUGCGUCGGAUUAGCUAGUUGGUGAGGUAAAGGCUCACCAAGGCGACGAUCCGUAGCUGGUCUGAGAGGAUGAUCAGCCACACCGGAACUGAGACACGGUCCGGACUCCUACGGGAGGCAGCAGUGGGGAAUAUUGGACAAUGGGCGCAAGCCUGAUCCAGCAAUGCCGCGUGUGUGAAGAAGGCCUGCGGGUUGUAAAGCACUUUCAGUGGGGAGGAACAGAUUCGGGUCAAUACCCCGGAGCCCUGACGUUACCCACAGAAGAAGCACCGGCUAACUCCGUG